AAGCUUUAUAAUUUAUAACAAAAUAUUUACCUUGAAAGUAAAAUAAGGAAUACUCCUUAAGCU
rnacentral:tRNA from 1 species